rnacentral:rRNA from 1 species
UACGUAGGCAGCAAGCGUUGUUCGGAGUUACUGGGCGUAAAGGGUGUGUAGGCGGUUGGAUAAGUGUGGUGUGAAAUCUCCCGGCUCAACUGGGAGGGUGCGCUACAAACUGUCUGACUAGAGUGUGGGAUGGGUAAGUGGAAUUCCUGGUGUAGCGGUGAAAUGCGCAGAUAUCAGGAGGAACACCAGCGGCGAAGGCGGCGCUCUGGGCCGGUACUGACACUGAGGAGCGAAAGCGUGGGUAGCAAACAGG